GCUGAGAGAGCUGGAACUGAGGGACAGACAGGAACGCGCUGAGGGAGCUAGAACUGGAGGAGAAAUUCCAGGUCCAUUUCUCGCCCCUGAUUAUGUGAUCACAUGCCAGAGCACUCCGGGAGAGGGGAAGAUAAAGGCACUGACAGAUGAAGUCUAGUCCAAGAUGAAACAGAGAAGCAGUGGAAGGUCAGAAGUCCAAAGCAGUGUCUCUGGGUCUGAGCCACUGCUCUGUGUAAUGCUGCAAGUGUGGCAUUUUGGGGAUGGUUGUUUUAACUCUUAGAAAAGCAUUCAUACUUUCUCAAAUAAUGAUUGCCUACACCAUAACUUCACUUGAACAUAAAUAUAUGGUGAGAGCUGUGUAGUGUUUGUCCUUAGGAGGGAAAAAAACACUGGGAAAAAGCCAAGGCAGUAUGUCACUGUAUGUUCCUGUUUAUUCUACUUCUUAUUUUUCACAUGUUUUAUAAAAUGUGUAUCUCCAAUGACUAAUACUUCUAAGUAACCAAUUUGUGCCAGUAAAUGGAAGCACCAUCUGUAAGAAGCUGAUUUUCAGAAGCCAAGUUCUCAAACAUCUGAGGAGGAGGAGGUGUUAUAACUUAGUGAGAGACGACCAAAGUGUAGACUUGGGUUUGGGAGUCAGGAUGAUUUCAGAUGUAUUAUGUAAGCAGGAUGUGAGAGGAAAAGGGAAAUGGGGAGCAAAAUGAUGGAGCUCUUGUUCAGCGGGAACAAAGAUGAAGUAACCCUUGCUGAUAGAAAGGGUAAGAAAAACACAACAUUUGGGGAAAAAAAGACAUUUAAUUGAGUUUGAAAUGUAGCAGAUGCUGAUUGCUGACACAGUGAAGAACACAGACCCGUGUGCUUACUCAGUGACAUUCAAUGACUGUAAUAAAAUGAAGGUUAAUUAAAUAAAAGUAGCUGAGAUCACUGCUCUCAUUUGUGCACUGUUUCACAGAGGAAAAUGGAAGACCUUUGGGCCAAGUUCAUCCCCUGCUGAUACUGUUGAGUAACUGCACGUGUAUUUCUAACAGUCUGAGCAGUUUUAUCAUUCUUGAGUUUCCCCACUUCCUUCCUCUCUUGGAAGAAACCUCAGCUGAUUGCAAAAAGCCAAGCUGGAGUCACUAGAGCCAAAGAGAGCUCUUGACACUUUAUCUGACAGCUGAGUUUGUCCCUGUGAGAUCAGAAAUCAACUUUUCAUGCUGAUCUGGUAAUUUUCUUUACACAGGGCAAGAAGUUUGUGCAGGGACAGCCAAAACUAACGGGAUCACAUGUGCACGUUUAAUUGUUUUAAAAUAAAAGUUACAAAAAUGUUGGUGUAUCAGUAUUAGAAGAUCUUACCAAAUGUUGAAGAAUAAAGAUGGAGUGCAGUCUGCCUGCAGAACUAUGGGACAUACUUUGCUUCAUACACCUUCACUCCAUAAAGUACUUAAGAGGA